AUACUUUCCUGGCAGGGGUGAUGAUGCCAUGAUCAUAAAGGUUGUUUUCCCAGGACAAGGCUUAUCCACUGAACUCCAGAUGUGCUGAUCCCUGUGAUUUAUCCAGAUGUAGGAACCUUGAUUGCAUAAUUUCAUGGUAGUGGGGGACUGUGUUUGUGCACUCUCCUG